GGCUUCGUGAUCGAGUGGUAAGUACAUUUGCUUCUUACCCCGGAGUCCCGGGUUCGAACCCCGAUCGAGAAGCUA